AGCAUAGCACCCAGUAGUUUUUCAACUCUUUCCCCCUCCAUCCCUCCCGCCUCUAGUAGUCCCCAGUGUCACUGUUGCUUUUUUAUGUCCAGAGUCAUGGGUUUUAUUUGCAAUGCUGCGAGAAAAGGCCCCUUGAAGUUAAAUUUUGCCUUGUUCCCCUUUUUUUUAGAGUCUCUUCACCCCUAGUAUCAGUAUACAGGGGACAUUCAGUUGUUGACUGCCUGAUGAAUGUUUGCCAGUAAUUAGAACUGAGAGACACUCAAAGAUUCUGGACUGUCUUCUGAGCAGAGAAUAAAAAGUAGCUAUCAUCUGCCCACCACAGACAUGAAAAAACAAGAAAGACAGUUUGCAGAGAGGAGAGAAUGAAACAGGACUGUAGAGAGAAGCAGAGACAAGAAAUGGAUCUUCCCAUCUCGUCAUGAGCUUCCACUUCCAGACCCUGUACUCAGUGGAUCAGCUGGCACCACGCAGAU
rnacentral:lncRNA from 1 species